UACAGAGGUCCCAAGCGUUGUUCGGAUUCACUGGGCGUAAAGGGUGCGUAGGUGGCCAGGUAAGUCUGAUGUGAAAUCUCGGAGCUUAACUCCGAAACUGCAUUGGAUACUAUCUGGCUAGAGGGUCGGAGGGGAGACUGGAAUUCUCGGUGUAGCAGUGAAAUGCGUAGAUAUCGAGAGGAACACCAGUGGCGAAGGCGAGUCUCUGGACGACUCCUGACACUGAGGCACGAAAGCUAGGGGAGCGAACAGG
rnacentral:rRNA from 1 species